rnacentral:rRNA from 1 species
GACGAACGCUGGCGGCGUGCUUAACACAUGCAAGUCGAACGGAAAGGCCCUGCAUUUGUGGGGUGCUCGAGUGGCGAAAGGGUGAGUAUCACGUGAGUAACCUGCGCUUUACUUUGGGAUAACUUCAGGAAACUGGGGCGAAUAUCGGAUAGGAGCUCCUGCUGCAUGGUGGGGGUGGUAAAGUUUCGGCGGUGGGGGAUGGACUCGCGGCUUAUCAGCGUGUUGGUGGGGUAGUGGAUUACCCAGGCAUUGACGGGUAGCCGGACUGAGAGGGUGACCGGCCACAUUGGGAUUCGGAUGCGGCCCGGAGUCAUACUGGAGGCAUCAGUGGGGAAUAUUGCACGAUGGGCGGAAGCCUGAAGCAGCAACGCCGCGUGCGAGAUGACGGCCUUCGGGUUGUAACCCGCUUUCGCCUGUAACGAAGCGUGAGUGACGGUAAUGGGUAAAGAAGCAACGGCUAACUACGUG